rnacentral:rRNA from 1 species
AACGAACGCUGGCGGCAGGCCUAACACAUGCAAGUCGAACGCUGUAGCAAUACAGAGUGGCAGACGGGUGAGUAACGCGUGGGAACCUUCCCAAUGGUGCGGAAUAGCCCAGGGAAACUUGGGGUAAUACCGCAUAAGCCCUUAGGGGGAAAGAUUUAUCGCCAUUGGAUGGGCCCGCGUCGGAUUAGCUAGUUGGUGAGGUAAUGGCUCACCAAGGCAACGAUCCGUAGCUGGUUUGAGAGAAUGACCAGCCACACUGGGACUGAGACACGGCCCAGACUCCUACGGGAGGCAGCAGUGGGGAAUCUUGGACAAUGGGCGCAAGCCUGAUCCAGCCAUGCCGCGUGAGUGACGAAGGCCUUAGGGUUGUAAAGCUCUUUUGCCGGGGACGAUAAUGACGGUACCCGGAGAAUAAGUCCCGGCUAACUUCGCGCCAGCAGCCGCAGUAA